AGUGAACGCUGGCGGCAUGCCUAACACAUGCAAGUCGAACGGCAGCACAGGAAGAUCUUGCUCUUGCGGAUGGCGAGUGGCGGACGGGUGACAUAUGCAUAGGAAUCUACUUUUUCGUGGGGGAGAAGGAAGGGAAACUUAUACUACUACCGCAUACGACCUACGGGUGGGAGCAGUGGAUCUUCGGCGCUUUCGCGUUUGAAUGAGCCGAUUUCGGAUUAGCUAGUUGGUGGGGUAAAGGCACACCAAGGCGACGAUCCGUAGCUGGUCUGAGAGGAUGAUCAGCCACACUGGAACUGAGACACGGUCCAGACUCCUACGGGAGGCAGCAGUGGGGAAUAUUGGACAAUGGGCGAAAGCCUGAUCCAGCAAUGCCGCGUGUGUGAAGAAGGCCUUCGGGUUGUAAAGCCCUUUUGUUGGGAAAGAAAAGCUGCGGGUUAAUACGCUGGUGUUCUGACGGUACCGAAAGAAUAAGCACCGGCUAACUACGUG
rnacentral:rRNA from 1 species